ACGGGUGAGUAACACGUGAGCAACCUGGCUCUAAGAGGGGGACAACAGUUGGAAACGACUGCUAAUACCGCAUAACGUAUCGGGAUGGCAUCUUCCUGAUACCAAAGAUUUUAUCGCUUAGAGAUGGGCUCGCGUCUGAUUAGAUAGUUGGCGGGGUAACGGCCCACCAAGUCGACGAUCAGUAGCCGGACUGAGAGGUUGAACGGCCACAUUGGGACUGAGACACGGCCCAGACUCCUACGGGAGGCAGCAUG
rnacentral:rRNA from 1 species